rnacentral:rRNA from 1 species
GACGAACGCUGGCGGCGUGCUUAACACAUGCAAGUCGAACGGAAAGGCCCUGCUUUUGUGGGAUGCUCGAGUGGCGAACGGGUGAGUAACACGGGAGAAACCUGCCCUUGACUUUGGGAUAACUUGAGGAAACUGGGGAUAAUACCGGAUAGGAGCUCCUGCUGCAUGGUGGGGGUUGGAAAGUUUUGGGGGUUGGGGACGGACUCGCGGCUUAUCAGCUUGUGGGUGGGGUAGUGGCUAACCAAGGCAUUGACGGGUAGCCGGCCUGAGAGGGUGACCGGCCACAUUGGGACUGAGAUACGGCCCAGACUCCUACGGGAGGAGGCGGUGGGGAAUAUUGCACAAGGGGCGGAGGCCUGAUGCAGCAACGCCGCGUGCGGGAUGACGGCCUUCGGGUUGUAAACCGCUUUCGCCUGUGACGAAGCGUGAGUGACGGUAAUGGGUAAAGAAGCACCGGCUAACUACGUG